rnacentral:sRNA from 1 species
GGAUGUGAGGGCACUCUGACUCAACAUCUGUCACCGCAUUGACUGCCAGAAUUGAUUUAAGCUGAUCUGGCAGGCUAGGCAGGAGUCCCCUUCCUCCCUCACCACUCCAUGACCGCUCCAUGUGUGUCCCCAGAAGCUGCGCACUCUGCCGAAGAGGACAGCCUUCCCCUGACAAGACUACUAAGACACGGUUCUUGGGUCGAGAGUAGCUGUGUUCCCCUGCUACAACCUCCAAACAAACUUCUGCCUCAGUGGUCCUGGCCCUGAUACCAGCAUCUG